GAAAGAAAACUGGCUCAGAGAGGCUGAGUAACCUGCUCAAGAUGACACAGCUUGUGGGUGGCUGAGUUGGCCUUCCAACCCAGAUUCCUGUCAUGUUCCUCAAGCCGACAGGUUCAGCUUGGUUGUGACCUCUGCUAGAAGCCCUCCCUGGCCUCCCUGUGCACUGAGCUGGUGGUUCCUCCUUUGCGCCCCAGGUACAUGCUCAGAUCUGUGUACCCUACACUUUGUCCUCCAGCUUCGUGUUUGGAUGUUCACAACUCCCAUGAGAAGGGCCCCCGAGAGCUGGCACAGUGCAUGUGUUUCCUCUCCAGACUUCUACAAACCUGGCACAUAAUUGUUUGCUGAAAGAUGGCAUGUUCCUAAAACAGAGGAAGUAGAACCGAAUAAAGCGAAAUCCAACUUCCCACUCCCUGCUCUCACUUCCUCUGGGACAGGCCUUGAGCAAGAGAGACAAAAAGAACAAGAGAUGAUCUUUCCCUUUAAUGGGAUUUCAGUCUGAUCAGGGAGAUAGUAACAGAAAGACUAGACUAGACUAGUGUAUGAUUAAAUGACAUUUGCCAUCCCCAGAAGAGGGAGAGACCUGCAUGGAACAGGGUGGUCAAGGCAGGCUUCCUGGAGGAGGCAAAGACUUAGAUUUAACAGUACCAGAGCUCCAGGAUAGAUCCUCCUCUGACUGAACUCCCUAUUUCUUUCUCCCACCCCAACCUUCCCGGGUCCCCAGCUGAAGGGAUACGUGUGUGUGUGUGUGUACAUGUGCCUGCACACAUGUACACAUGUGGUUAGAAAGGGGGUAUUAGUAUCUCUCUCCUAGGAUGGAGUCUCAAGGACAGGCCCAUCAUCUCCUCAGUUUGCCCCUCUCUCUCCCACUUCACCUAGGGAAUGGAAUAAGAAUGGGAUAAGUAUAACACAAUGAGACGAAUGCAGAACCAACUAGAUGUACACCCAACAAUGUGGAUGAACCUUAAAACAGUGCUGCCUGAAGAAGGCAAGAAACAGAAUGAAAUCUGCAGCACAUCAUUCAUAUAAACUAAAAAUACAUGCACAGAGAAAGGCCACUUUUUUUUUUUUGGAGACAAAGUUUCGCUCUUGUCACUCAGGCUGGAGUGCAAUGGCACGAUCUCGGCUCACUGCAACGUCCACCUCUAGGGUUCAAGCGACUGUCCUGCCUCAGCUUCUAGAGUAGCUGGGAUUAUAGGAGCCCACCACCAUGGCCGGCUAAUUUUUGUCUUUUUAGUAGAGACGGGGUUUCACCAUGUUGCCCAGGCUGGUCUCAAACUCCUGACCUCAGGUGAUCCACGUGCCUCGGCCUCCGAAAGUGCUGGGAUUACAGGCGUGAGCCACCGCACCCAGUCAGCAACGUAUGUUUUGUAGAGACACAGACAAAGAUGUGAUGUCAAACACACUAAUGUGGUUGCCUCAUUUAUGGAUGGGGGACUGGGCUGGUGAAUGAGGAUUAAAGGAAUAAAUAAAUAAAACAAGAGAGGGCCUCUGUACAGAACGGUGAUGACAGCGUGCCGUCGAGGAGAAUGAUGAACUCAAACUUUUGCACCUGAGAGCCAAACAAAAGCUCAAAACCAAAAUCUCUCUUAGAAAUGAUGCCACUGACUUUAGGAUGGCACUCAUAUCUGUGUGAGUGGGAGAGAGAAGGGUUUGGGGCAGGGAUUUGACUGUAGCUGUAAUGUUUUAUUCCUUUAAAAAAGAUAAGAUAAUCUGAAACAAAAUGUUAAUAUCUGUUGAAUCUGGGGAGAGGCUAUGAGGGUUUCUGUUAAACCAUUUUGUGUACAUUUUAAAUACAGUCAUGCAUGAGUUAAUGAUGGGGAAUAAGUUCUUAGAGAUACGUUGUUAAGCAGUUUUGUUAUUGUGUGAACAUUAUCGAGUGUACUUACACAAACUUAGGAUGGAAUAGCUGACUAUAUAACUUAGACUAUAUGGUCUAGCCUAUUGCUUGAAGGCUGCAAACCCAUACUCCAUGUUAC
rnacentral:lncRNA from 1 species